GUACGGUUCUUAACAUUCGGUAAAAUGUUAAGUGAAAAGGGAAAUCGGUGAAAAUCCGAUGCGGUCCCGCCACUGUAAGUGUGAGUAACUCGUAUAAUUGCCACUGAAAAAUUUUCGGGAAGGCACGAGAAGCGUUGAACACAAGCCAGGAUACCUGCCGUAUUUA
rnacentral:ncRNA from 1 species